rnacentral:lncRNA from 1 species
ACAAAGAUACCCUUAAGAGUAUAACGCAUCUGCUGAAGUACAUCAGCGACCUCCCAGAUAUAGGGUGCAAAAAUCAUAAACUGCUACUAUAUGACAAGAUAUCCUCAUUCUUACAUUUUAAAGGGCAGAAUGGCGACAUGGGUAUUCAACAUUCUCCCAGGUAGUCCCAGGUUUCAGAAUAUAAGCAGAAAAAAUUACCAUCAGCAGCCUGAGAUCAUUAUUCACCUAAUCAUAUAUGGUAUGCAUAAAAAAGGCAAGUCCUUAGAUUAGUGAAUACCUCGUGACCAUCAUGGCAAGAAAGGCUACAAGCUGUGCAAACCCCAGCAUUCCCAUCUGGUGUGCAUGUCAAACAAGAAAAAAUAGCUUGUCUCUUCAUAUAACCUUUACUAUAGGUGCACUCCUUGCCUUCAUCACCACCUAAGACCAGAUCCGCCUCCUACACCAAGAUGAUUUAUCCCCCCAAAAAUAAUCAAGCAUAUACUGGGAUAAAAUAACAGUCAAAUUCAAAACAGCACAAUCAACUGACAUUUCAAACAUUUUGUAAUAGAUUAAGGUUCAUAUCUUUCUGAAAAAUGAAUUCUCUUUUUUUUUUUUAAAAAAUAGCUUGUCUCUUCAUAUAACCUUUACUAUAGGUGCACUCCUUGCCUUCAUCACCACCUAAGACCAGAUCCGCCUCCUACAUCAAGAUGAUUUAUCCCCCCAAAAAAAAUCAAGCAUUGUCAAAUUCAAAACAACACGAUCAACUCACGUUUCAAACAUUUUGUAAUAGAUUAUGGUUCAUAUCUUUCUGAAAAAUAAAUGCUCUUUAGGGGGGAAAGGGGGGUUCAACCUGUACAUAUUUGGCCCCAAAAAACCGUGCCACGCCUCCCCCCACAAAAGGAAAACCCAUGCUAAUUUGAUAGCUACCGCAUUAUCUUAUCACGGGACAUGCAAAUGAACAAAUCACGUUUAGCCCGUUAAAAAUUCUUUAAGUGAAAUUCUGAAUAUAGAAAGCAUUUAGUAUAAAAUAAGAGAGUACAAAUUAGAGCUGCA